rnacentral:lncRNA from 1 species
CUUCUAAGACUUUCUACUUCUUCCUAUAGAGAUUUGCAAGACGUACAAUCCUUAUUUGAGCUUUCGGGUUUAUCGGCGCUUCUUUUGCCAUAAAACUUGUUUUCCUUUUUUAAUUUCUCAUUUUCAAGAGUAAGUUUUUCAAAAUCCUUUUCUUUUGAAGAAAAUUGUUUUCUUAAAUCUUUUAUAGAUUUAGAAGCGCUAAU